UCCCAGUUCUGGGCGCGCAACCCGCUGCAGUCAACAGCCCCUUUCUGGGCGGGGAUCUGUCCUGGCCGGAUGGGAGGAGGGAAGUGAAAAAAGCUCCCAGAAGUCUCUAAAUCAGUUUCAGUCUCGAGGUCCCCGGGCUGCUUCUUAUUUAUGAUCAGAUCAAGGGUAUAAGGUGUCAGUGGGGGCAGCCAGCAGUCAUAGGCCAGAGAGGGGCGACUGCCCGUCCCAAGGGCUUGUCACAGGGUAAGUAACCGACAGACUGGGAAAGGAAGGAGGCAAUCUUCAGCCACUCGGUCACUCAUUCUAAAUUCACUCUCAUUUUUUGGGCAUCUAUUGUGCAAGCCCUGUGGACUUAAAAAGAGAAAUAAGACGCCGUCCCUGCCCUCGGGAACUCCCGGCGCAUCUGCCCCAACAACUCACUGAAGCCGCCUGCAGGACGCCUGAGUGAGGACAAGGUGUCUCACUCAGAAAAUUUGCUUGAUUCUUCCUGGCAAGUGGGACAGGGUGAGCUUCCCGGAGGAGGGGACCUUCGAGCUGUGUAGCGGGGAAGAUGCAGUUUCGCCACGUUGGCCAGGCUGGUCUAGAACUCCUGACCUCAAGUGAUCUACCCUCCUCGGCCUCCCAAAGUGCUGGGAUUAGAGGUGUGCACCACUGCCCCCAGCCCAUGAGCCACUGCACCCAGCUCAAUAAGCACUUUAAAAGAAGACCUGGACAUCAGAGCCUCUCUCCUGCUGGUUUUGAAGAAGCAAGCUGCCACGAGUCUACAGCUGUAAGGAAAUGAAUUGUGCCAACGAUCCCACGUGCUUGAAAGAGGACCCUGAACCUCAGAUGAGACCCAGUCCCAGGAGACAGAUUGAGUGCUGCCUUUCAGGACCCUGAACAGAGGAGCCAGUUGAACCAUCGACAGGCUCCUGACCCACAGAAACUGUGAGACAAUAAACGUGUAUUGUCUUAAGCUCCUAAGUGUGGGGUCAUUUGUUACACAGCAAUAAAAGGUUUGUAAGAAGGUCAGAUGUGCCCUGACUUCCCUGCUUUGGUUCAGCCCUACUGCCUGCGUCUCUGAAGCUGGGAGGUGGGGCUGGGAUCACAGCUCAGGGUGAUGCGACAAUGAGAAAGAAAAUUAAAAUCCAAGAUGGAGCGAUUCAAAACUGUAAUCUCGGCAAACAGUGGCACUUAGAUUUCCCAUUAUUGAUCCCCUCCGCGGAUAUUCUCCAGUCUCGUAAUUACAGGAGGACUUUUUCAAUUUGGGCUGAAAUGCUUCCCCUCCCCCCAUGCCCCUCCUUUAUUUCUUUAAACUCGCAAUAACACGCUAUAGAUUGUAUGCAGCUGUGGAGUCUAAAUAAACAGAGCUAAUCAUUUUAAUUGAAAUCCGAUCUCAGCAGCAGGAAGGCCCUUCCGUUGUGAUAUUCUCCCCUUUAUCUCCCUAGAGCAGGGAGCAAGUCCUGCUCCUGGCUUGGGCCACUCAGGGACACAGACACACACACACACACACACGCACGCACGCACGCACACACCUUUCUCCACCUCUGCCUUUGCAUCUGUUCAUCCUCCAGGACUUGGUUCAGACAUCACCUCCCUGUCUCUCCUCUUUGCUCCCAGUCCUAGGGCUGACCACCUGCAACCUCCUAAGUCCCCACUGGUUGCUGGGAGAUGCUGACCAGUGCUGGAGCUGGGGGUCAGGCGGGCCCUCCCAAGCACAACCUCUUCAUCCCCCUGCCUCCAGGCACAGGGUAGGCCAGUCUCUGCCCGGAUCCUCCUGACAGCUCACCCACGUCCUUUAUUCACCACGUUUUUGGCCACUGGUAGUUCUCUUCAGCUAAUCUGGGGUUCUCAGACAGAGAAGGGCAAUUUUGUCCCCCUCCCCCAGGAACAUUGGGACACAUUUUUAGUUGUGACAACUUGGGAGGAGAAUUUCCACUGGCAUCUAGUGGGUAGAGGGCAGGGGUGCUGCCAAACAUCCUACAGUGCACAGGAUGGCCCCAUAGCAAAGAACCAUCUGGCCUGAAAUGUCAAUAAAUAGUGUGGAUACUGAGAAACCUCAAGCUAACCUAAGUUCUUCUUCUUUUUUUAUUUUUUGAGUUGGAGUUUCGCUCUUGUUACCCAGGCUAGAGUGUGAUGGCACGAUCUCAGCUCACUGCAACCUCCACCUCCUGGGCACAAGCAAUUCUCCUGCCUUAGCCUCCCAAGUAGCUUGGAUUACAGGCACUGAUCACCAUGCCCAGCUAAUUUUUGUAGUUUUUAGUAGAGACUGGGUUUCACCAUGUUGGUCAGGGUGGUCUCAAUCUCCUGACCUCAGGUGAUCCUCCCGCCUCGGCAUCCCAAAGUGCUGGGAUUACAAGUGUGAGCCACCCCGCCUGGCCCCUAAGUUCUUCUUGAACUCAUGUAAUUUCGCAGAAUGGAAAGAUUAAUAGCCAGAGAUGGAAGGAACCAACAAACCAGGAUGAUGACACACACGGCACACACAUGCACACACGCAUGCACACACGCAUGCACACACAUGCACGCACAUGCAUGCGCACACGUGCGUGCACACACGCACACGCACACACAUGCACACACACGCGCAGACACACACAAAUGCACACACAUGCACGCACAUCACACACACGCACACACUCGCACGCACACACGCACACACGUGCACAUGCACACACGCACGCACCCCCCUCUUUCUCCACCUCUGUCUUCACGUCUCUUCAUCCUCCAGGACUUGGUUCAGACAUCACUUCCUCUUAGAGUCUUCUCCAAGCUGUGGGUUGUGUGACAUGUCCCUCCUCUGUGCCCCCUGAGUCCCCCAUAUAUGUGAUUUCCUUAACAUUGACCAUCCCCAGUGACAUUACAAAGUUUUCAUGCAAAACUGAUAUGAUGACAAAGGUCAGGACAAUGGUCACCUUGGGGGUGGGGAGUGGCUGGGAAGGACUUUUGGGCUUCUGCGGGGGGUGUUCUGUUCUGUUUUAUUUCUUGCUCUGGGAGCUGCUUUGCUGUAAGGUUCACCUUGUGAAAAUUUGCCUUGCUAAAUAAACACUAUCACCCGUGCAUUUUA